rnacentral:lncRNA from 1 species
GUUGAAUAGUAUAAUCAUAGUGAAUUUUGAAAUUUAUUGACAGUUUGACACAGUACUAGGAGAUCAUGAAUAGUAUAAGCAUGAAAGAAAAACGGAAAUAGUUUGACACCUACUUCGAAAUAGAUAUCUUAUUUUGAAUACAAGAAUCAAUAACGAGGAAAUUAAACUAAUGGAUCAAAUACCAACUGUAGGAUAAACUUUCUCCAACAUGAACUUAAUUAAUAUCAUGGUAUAUUAUUUCCUUAAUUAAUAUCAAAAUGAACGAUGAAAAGAAAGAAGAUCUGGUCCUUGGACUCGGCAAGCAUGUUGAUUUUGAUGUUGAUGUUGAUGUUGAUGAUGAAGACGAAGAUGAUCAUCUCUUACUAAUAAUUAUAAUUAUAAUAUAUAAUAUCACUCCAUAGAUAUAUGUAGCGGUGCCUGCAUUCUUUAUGAUUUCGGAAUGGACGACUUGCGAGUUUCGAAGUAUUGAAAGCAUCGGAAAUCAGGUGCCAAUUUUCACCUAGAUCAUCGACCAGAGAGCUCAGCAAUAGAUCUUCCUGCAAUAACCAUGGAUGAUAGUACAUUCUUACCGAAUGGUAUGCCGCCAUUUUUAGUAAUUAAGUAGUAGUGUACGUGCAAAUUAAUUAAUAUCGACUGAUCAUAUGGAUAUAUAUAGGACUAUAAAGCGAUGGAAAAAGCUAGGUUUUUUUUAAAUAUUGUUAUAAAUCC